rnacentral:rRNA from 1 species
UACGUAGGGGGCGAGCGUUGUCCGGAUUUAUUGGGCGUAAAGAGCUCGUAGGCGGUUGGGUAAGUCGGGUGUGAAAACUCAGGGCUCAACUCUGAGACGCCACUCGAUACUGCUCUGACUCGAGUCCGGUAGGGGAGCGUGGAAUUCCCGGUGUAGCGGUGAAAUGCGCAGAUAUCGGGAGGAACACCAGUGGCGAAGGCGGCUCUCUGGGACGGUACUGACGCUGAGGAGCGAAAGCGUGGGGAGCAAACAGG